AAAUAAAUUAUUAUUAAAAAAAAAAAAAAAACAGCCAGUGAGAGAAUGAGGCUCCACUGACAAGGCCUGUGUGAAUGUCGGAUGUGUUUCAG